UGGGGAAUAUUGCACAAUGGGCGCAAGCCUGAUGCAGCGACGCCGCGUGAGGGAUGACGGCCUUCGGGUUGUAAACCUCUGUUAGCAGGGAAGAAGAGAGAUUGACGGUACCUGCAGAGAAAGCGCCGGCUAACUACGUGCCAGCAGCCGCGGUAAUACGUAGGGCGCGAGCGUUGUCCGGAAUUAUUGGGCGUAAAGAGCUUGUAGGCGGUUUGUCGCGUCUGCUGUGAAAGGCCGGGGCUUAACUCCGUGUAUUGCAGUGGGUACGGGCAGACUAGAGUGCAGUAGGGGAGACUGGAAUUCCUGGUGUAGCGGUGGAAUGCGCAGAUAUCAGGAGGAACACCGAUGGCGAAGGCAGGUCUCUGGGCUGUAACUGACGCUGAGAAGCGAAAGCAUGGGGAGCGAACAGG
rnacentral:rRNA from 1 species